AAUCAACGCUGGCGGCGUGCCUCAGACAUGCAAGUCGAACGCGAAAGUUUCCUUCGGGGAGCGAGUAGAGUGGCGCACGGGUGAGUAACACGUAGGUAAUCUACCUUCGGAUGGGGAAUAACAAUCGGAAACGGUUGCUAAUACCGCAUAAUGCAGCGGCACCUAAUGGUGACAGUUGUUAAAGCGGGGGAUCGUAAGACCUCGCGUCUGAAGAGGAGCCUGCGGCGGAUUAGCUUGUUGGUAAGGUAAUGGCUUACCAAGGCGACGAUCCGUAACGGCCUGAGAGGGCGUCGGUCACACUGACACUGACAUACGGGUCAGACUCCUACGGGAGGCAGCAGUCGGGAAUUUUGGGCAAUGGGCGAAAGCCUGACCCAGCAACGCCGCGUGAAGGAUGAAAU
rnacentral:rRNA from 1 species